rnacentral:rRNA from 1 species
UGGGGAAUAUUGCACAAUGGGCGCAAGCCUGAUGCAGCCAUGCCGCGUGUGUGAAGAAGGCCUUCGGGUUGUAAAGCACUUUCAGCGGGGAGGAAGGCGAUAAGGUUAAUAACCUUGUCGAUUGACGUUACCCGCAGAAGAAGCACCGGCUAACUCCGUGCCAGCAGCCGCGGUAAUACGGAGGGUGCAAGCGUUAAUCGGAAUUACUGGGCGUAAAGCGCACGCAGGCGGUCUGUCAAGUCGGAUGUGAAAUCCCCGGGCUUAACCUGGGAACUGCAUUCGAAACUGGCAGGCUAGAGUCUUGUAGAGGGGGGUAGAAUUCCAGGUGUAGCGGUGAAAUGCGUAGAGAUCAGGAGGAAUACCGGUGGCGAAGGCGGCCCCCUGGACAAAGACUGACGCUCAGGUGCGAAAGCGUGGGGAGCAAACAGG